GACUAAUCUCGUUGGUUGAGGCAAUAUUGGUCAAAUUAACUGUGACAUUGGUAACUAUUAAACAAACAAAUUGGUUAUCUUACAAAGAUAUUGGUUAACUUUAAUAACAGAUUGGUUGAAAAAUGACUAAUAUCAUUAGUUAAGCAAAUGUUAACUAAGAGAUUGGUAACUGACGCAGGUCUGACGCUAAACGUCAAGUACGUAACUCUGCUUCUCAAUUUUCUGACAAAGCCGCCAUCUUUGUGCUGCAGGAAAGCCGUUUGAGAUAUUGGUGAAAUUCAAACACUUUGUGAGAUGACAGAAUAUUGCUGAAGGAUCCUACAUGGAAGCUGGCUGAUUACACGGAGUGAUUCCUCUGGUGUGGUGUACCUCAGAGAAAUAAACACUGUUGCAAGAGCUGAGAAGAUGGCCAAGAUAUCCUUAUUGCUGGAUGGUAGCUCUGGUCGUAGUGGACCAUAUCUGCAAAUGCUUCUGAACAUUGACAGAAUUUCUAAAGAUGACUGAGAAUAUUACUGAAGGAUCCUACAUGGAAGCUGUCUGAUUACACUGAGUGAUUCCUCUGGUGUGGUGUACCUCAGAGAAAAUAAACACUGUUGCAAGAGGUGAGUUUAAGUUCAUGAAUUCACACAAAACCAAUCCAUGUAUUUUAUAAAAGUCAAAGUGCUAAACAUGCUAUGUAUUUCAUGCUGUCAAUAUGAGAUGCAAAUUAAUGUUGUG